UACGGAAGGCAGCAGUGGGGAAUAUUGCACAAUGGGCGAAAGCCUGAUGCAGCUAUGCCGCGUGUAUGAAGAAGGCCUUAGGGUUGUAAAGUACUUUCAUCGGGGAGGAAAAAACAAAACUAAUAAUUUUAUUUCUUGACGUUACCCGAAAAAGAAGCACCGGCUAACUCCGUGCCAGCAGCCGCGGUAAUACGGAGGGUGCUAGCGUUAAUCAGAAUUACUGGGCGUAAAGAGCACGUAGGUGGUUUUUUUAAGUCAGAUGUGAAAUCCCUGGGCUUAACCUAGGAACUGCAUUUUGAAACUGGAAAUACUAGAGUAUCGUAGAGGGAGGUAGAAUUCUAGGUGUAGCGGUGAAAUGCGUAGAUAUCUGGAGGAAUACCUGUGGCGAAAGCGGCCUCCUAAACGAAUACUGACACUGAGGUGCGAAAGCGUGGGGAGCAAACAGGGAUUAGAUACC
rnacentral:rRNA from 1 species